CCUACGGGCGGCAGCAGUGGGGGAUAUUGCACAAUGGGGGGAACCCUGAUGCAGCGACGCCGCGUGGGUGAAGGAGCGUUUCGGCGCGUAAAGCCCUAUCGGCAGGGAAGAAGGAGGACGGUACCUGACCAAGAAGCCCCGGCUAACUACGUGCCAGCAGCCGCGGAAAUACGUAGGGGGCAAGCGUUACCCGGAUUCACUGGGUGUAAAGGGGGCGCAGACGGCAGCGCAAGCCAGGAGUGAAAGCCCGGGGCCCAACCCCGGGACUGCUCUUGGAACUGCGCGGCUGGAGUGCAGGAGGGGCAGGCGGAAUUCCUGGUGUAGCGGUGAAAUGCGUAGAUAUCAGGAGGAACACCGGUGGCGAAGGCGUCCUGCUGGACUGCGACUGACGUUGAGGCCCGAAAGCGUGGGGAGCAAACAGGAUUAGAUACCCUUGUAGUC
rnacentral:rRNA from 1 species